rnacentral:lncRNA from 1 species
AGAACCUGGAAGGCCGGCCGUGUUCACCGAGGCAGGAUCAGUAGCUUUUCAGAUUCCUCCUUACCUCCCGACGUGCUGCAGUUUCGUCCUGGAGUGUCUGAGAGUGAGUCGUCGCUUUCUCACCCUGUGCAGGGGUUGGGGUCUGAAAUCCACUUCUCUCUUUCAUUUUUGAGAACGUCAGCGCUUGUCUUUUAGAAAGUUGUCAUUUCACUGUUCCUUCUGGAGAGUCUUCAUCUGCCUGUCACACCUCGUCAUUGUCACUUCUGACUGGUCUGUCCCAUCUGCGAAGCUCUGUACCACAUUCUUGGUCCCACCUGACACCCCACUCAUUUCCCCUUCAGUGGGCGCAGAGGAGUGCUUUCUGUCUGCUGUUUCAAUAACCCCACUUCAGCUUGCAGGAUUUCCGAUCGAUUCUUCUCCACAAACACCUGCUUUUAUUUUUUUAGAGCCACUUGAGGUUUCACAAUCUCUUAAUGUCUUUGAUGAACCUAAACAUUUUUAUUUAAAAAUCAUUUGCAGAUCCUUUUAUUAUUUCCGUUGCAUCUGGCAUGGGUUCCUAUCCCACGGUCAAGGUCCUUGAUGGUCUUUAUUAACAUCAGCUCUGUCCCCGCGUUUGGGCCAGUUUUGCCCCCGUCCUGAGCAGCCCUUUCUCUCUCCCUCUCUCGAGUUGUCUCGCCUGCUGGCCCUGCCCCAGAAUGAGGGGGUCAUUUGUGGCUGGCUCAGAGCCCACAGCCCUGGGGGGCACUUGGGGACACUGCCUCAUUCCUAAUAUCUGCUACAUGAAGAUGGUUAUCUUGAUU